rnacentral:lncRNA from 1 species
CUGGGGAGUUCAAGAAGAGAGUGGAAUUGUUUAGCAGAGAGAGAAGAGAGGAGAGAAGAGAGGACAGUAGGAGAGGAAGAGAGAAGAGGAACAGCAUGAGAACAUCACAAGUGUGCAUCAGAAGAAGCUAUCAGCACCCCUAUAACUCUAGAGGCACAGAUUAAAAGCACCCAGUGUUACAGAUGUCUUCAUCUAGAAAAAGGAGUGGAAGUCUCUGCAAAAUCUCUAUUGAUUCUCCC